rnacentral:rRNA from 1 species
CCUACGGGAGGCAGCAGUGGGGAAUAUUGCACAAUGGGGGAAACCCUGAUGCAGCGACGCCGCGUGAGUGAAGAAGUAUUUCGGUACGUAAAGCCCUAUCAGCAGGGAAGAAAAUGACGGUACCUGACUAAGAAGCCCCGGCUAACUACGUGCCAGCAGCCGCGGUAAUACGUAGGGGGCAAGCGUUAUCCGGAUUUACUGGUUGUAAAGGGAGCGUAGACGGCAGCGCAAGUCUGGAGUGAAAUCCCAUGGCUUAACCAUGGAACUGCUUUGGAAACUGUGCAGCUAGAGUGCAGGAGAGGUAAGCGGAAUUCCUAGUGUAGCGGUGAAAUGCGUAGAUAGUAGGAGGAACACCAGUGGCGAAGGCGGCUUACUGGACUGUAACUGACGUUGAGGCUCGAAAGCGUGGGGAGCAAACAGGAUUAGAUACCCCUGUAGUC